GGCUGGCAGCUGCCGGAAUGGACAGGACAGACAGAAGCAUUUCCAUCAUCCCAGAAAUCUCUUGACAGGCUACUUAGAGUUUAUUUUAUGCUAAAAGGCAAAGAGGUUCUUUGUUUUCAGCACCAGAUCACUCUCUGUGGCGAGAUACCCUUCCUAGCGUGACCUUCUCUUUCUCUGCUCCAGUCUUUGGAAGAAGUGUGUGACCUGCUGCACGCGGCUCCCUUCCAGAACAUCUUGCCGCGAGUCCACGUGAAAGAGGGGGAGAGACUUGAUGCCAAAAUGAAAAGACUAGAAUCAAAGUACGCUCCGCUGCAUCUUGUCCCACUGAUUGAAAGACUGGGGACCCCUCAGCAAAUUGCCAUCGCAAGAGAGGGGGACCUGCUGACAAAGGAGCGCCUCU
rnacentral:sRNA from 1 species